rnacentral:rRNA from 1 species
CCUACGGGUGGCUGCAGUGAGGAAUAUUGGUCAAUGGGCGGAAGCCUGAACCAGCCAAGUAGCGUGCGGGAUGAAGGCCCUACGGGUCGUAAACCGCUUUUGCACGGGGAUAACACCCUCCACUUGUGGAGGUCUGCACGUACCGUGAGAAUAAGGGCCGGCUAAUUCCGUGCCAGCAGCCGCGGUAAUACGGAAGGCCCGAGCGUUAUCCGGAUUCAUGGGGCUUAAAGGGAGCGUAGGCGGGCGUUCAAGUCAGCUGUAAAAUCGGGGGGCUCAACCGCGCCCCGCAGUUGAAGGGGGACGCCGUGAGUGCACGAGAGGCAGGGGGAAUGCGGGGUGUAGCGGUGAAGUGCAGAGAUA